AUGCACUGCCGCUGCGACGGGUGCACGCCCAAGGUGAGCUCCGCCCUGAACAACCUCGCGCUGGCACCGGGCGUGGUGGCGGUGCUGGAACGGUCGGCGACGGAGGACACCGAGGAGGUGCGCCUGCUGGCAACGGCCGACCCCGAGCGCCUCCGCAAGAGCCUCCACGAGGCCACCGGCAAGAAGAAGGCGGUGCUUCUCUCUGGCCGCCUCGUCACCAUCAUGCACAUCACCCCGCACUGCAUCGAGAUGCACAGCAAAAUCCACAUCCUCACCUUCAUCCAUGGACUGCCUCGCGCAACACUGGCCACCGAUAAACCAUAG
rnacentral:rRNA from 1 species